GUAUAUAUUGUGGAACAGUUAUUUUUCAUUUAUUCUUAAGCAUACAUUUCAAUUACAUACCACAUGUUGUACAAAAGAACAUUGUAGACUUGUCUCUCUUGUCGCAGUUGGCACAUGGUGGGUUCUUCGAGUUGGCCAACUCAACUAGCUGACGUAUCAGCUGAUCGGACGGUGGUAGUUGUGCUCCAUCACCCAGCUGCGUUUGUUGUCUGUGCACAAAAAUAUUUUCUAUAUUUUUGCAAGCUAAAGUGGAAAUGUGUCAGAAGGUUAUAAAGGGUACUAAGCAGUAGAAAUUUAUAGACACAGCUUACAGAUUCUGUAUCGGAAAGGAUCCGUAGGUCUGUUUUCGAAUACCAGAUUGACCAAAGUAUACGACACGUAGCAAGUAGCAAGUGGAACAAAAGAUCUCAGACAGCGUAAGGUUGGCAAAGAUAUUUCCAGAACUAGCAACUGCGUACAACAAUAACAUACUAACAAGGUAAUGUGCUUCGCAGUGUGUACGCAUCGAUUCAGGAGAAAUGUACAAAACAGUAGAAGACACUGGUAACGUGCAGAUGUUAGCCAAACCUAACCCAGACCUGGGAUCGUCACCCACCCUAAGGACGCCAUGCAAUAACAGUCGUUGUUAUCUACCCGCAGGUGGAACAGGUGACCUUUCCAUCAAUGCUACGGAUGCAGCGAGCACAAAACGUGUGAAAACAGGACAGCAGACAGGGCUCGUUGUAAUAGUCGUGGCAGACAGCGCAGAUCAGAGGGUUCCUGGGCCCGCCACUGGGUACACCUGUCGUACCGUCGCUUUCGCCGACGCCGACGCCGACGCCGACACCGACCCCGUCGACAGCCGACCCCGAGCUCGCCAUCGUCGGCCAAACCAACGGCGGCCACCUGGAAACCAGAGGAUCACUCAGCCAACCCUCGUUUGGGCACUCCUCGGACGUUUCACAUUUCACCGUUUCCAGUUACACCCCUCGCGCACCAAACCACUCCCUCGCGAAACACGGAGAUGGAUUUUUCAACAGAAAAUAACGUUAGAUUGUUUACCCCAAGACCGUUGGCCCGCCCGCCGCAGAAAACCCUGAUGGAUAGUUUAUCGGCUCGUCAUUCUAACGUAGUUUGGUGGGCAACCCCGUUUGCGCCUGACGAUCGGCUCUGACGUCACUGAGGUGCCACCAAUCUCGCCCUCUUCCACGCUGGGGUGGUACGUACACAGAGAAAAGAGGACGGGCUGCUGUGCUGCUGCUGCUGCUGCACGCGGCUAUGGAGGUGUGCUCGUGCACACACAGACUGUAUACACACAGCUCCCCUCUGACGUAAGCGCGAGAGGGUGGUUGUGCGCUUACGUGCUCGCCCGCCAGCGAUGGGUAUACAACUUCAUCCCCAGCCCGAGUUCUCGAACAAAUCACUGGAUUAAUAUACUAUUGUUCCCCAUGCUAACGUUUCACGCUGUAAUGCGUGUUAAUCCCCCGGCGCAUUCUCUCGUAAAAUCUCUUGGAACCACCAUCGUAUGCUCACGGGAUGUGUAACGGGAGUUACAGCGUAGUUGCUCAAUAGCUCUUCGGUGACUCAGCGGCGUGCUCGAAGCCACCGCUACCAGCGGAUUUUGCGAGUGUUGGUGCCACGGGGCUAGGAUCUAUGUGCGUGAGAGUGGCAACCCCCGGCGUCGCCGCCCCUCGGCACCUCCGUCACCCCGUUUUCUGCACUCCUGCAGGGAUCUAUAUGCCCGAUAUAUAUACAUUCGACCUGCCGACGUGUACAUGUGCGAGCUGCUGGUAGCGAGAGACGAGCGUGUUCUGCUCUGCACGGGAGAGAGCAUGGGCUCGCGUAUAUAAAGCGGUGCAAAACAGAAAAAAAGAAGGGACGGGUUGCUGCUAGGGCGGAGGAGGAAGUAGGAGGUGGAAAAAAAAAUGAAAGAAAGAGAGAAGGGAAGUGGGAUUAUGCAUAUUCCUUUGUAACCAACGGCUUUUCGUUCCGCAGUUUUCAUCCACUCGUCGCCACGACAUUAACGGGACGCAAUACUAAAAUUUGUCCUUCUGCCCUUCGCCCUCCCCGGCGUAGGGUGUGCGCCCUUGUAACCUACAAAAGCUGGCGGCUGCAUAAGCAUGCUAACUCCUUCCCGACAAUCUUUCCCCCAUCUCCUGUUUCCAUUCGCUAGACGAUUGUCCCCUUUCCACCCCCACCCCCCACCACGCCAGUAACCCUCAGGUUCGCCCCCUUCCAUUUUUCUCGUUUUCUCUGUGUUUCUCUGUCGCCCGCGGAUUCCGCGAGAGACCGGACCUUCAUCUAAUCGUUCCGCUCGGAUUCCAGGAUUUAUUUGUCUGCGACAAUGGCCGGCCUGCGAGCGAACCGGAGCACCACCAGCUCUCCCUAUCGAUCGUUUAAAAGAUCCUACGGGAGAAGGACGCGUCGGAAACGUGUACUUAGACCGCCAAUCUGCAGCCAGAAUCGACCGAUUCGCACCCUCGGACCUGGACCUGGACCUGCAUACCCGGACCACAUCAAACCGCCCUGAUUAAUUAACCGUUUCGCGGUCGAGCGUCUCCUCGAGGAUAAUGAGAAUCUGUUUGCGGCUAAUAGGGGUGGCGCGGGUUAGGCGAAAAAAUUCGGCUGGAAUUCUGACGGGAUGGUGACGCGGGAAACGUUGUGACAACGUGAAAAUUGGGCACCAAGCGAAUCGAUGUCUUGUUUAUCGUACGGUCAGGGACUCGUCGUGAAAGUCUGUUUGCCAUGAACAUGUAAAAAUCCACGGUACAAUGACGAUAGGGUCUUUGUUGCGCGCAUUGAGUGCACGGCCGGCUAGUUAUUUCUUUAGUAAUCCCUUAUGAGCGCCGCGGUCGAAAGUACCCAAGGCUAUUGAAUUAGUUUCCAGCCCCUAAAUCCGAUAUCCUAUGUAUUCGUCGAGGGAAAAACACGCGGCCUACGUGCUCAGGGAAAUAUCCAACGGCUGGAGAGUGGAUAGCUGACCCUCGAACGGGUCAGUGAAUGCUAAUUCCGCGACUCUUCCUCCCCUCUCCGGUAACCGCAAUGUGCAUCUCCUUCGAACUGCACAACCGAGACCGGUCCAAAAAAUUCCAUCCCUGUAGAAGGCAUCAGGGAAAUUACUGCGUCUACCUUUCUGUAAUGCCUCGCAUGAUCCAGUCUCGAGCGUCAUCUUCGUGGUUGUCCUUUUGUGAUGCGCCACGGGUCACGGGUUCCAGACCAACCUUUGCUGAAUGGCGCAGGAGUCAUUGUAUUGCGAGGCUCCUUGCGAGAACGUAAGCCUCGAUGCACCCUCGACCACUAUGCAAAUGUACAUCCCUGAAAUACAUGAAAUCGUACGAACUCUGCGCCUCAUCGAGCAAGAAGGUCUCUUUAAGAGAAGUAAAUCGAGCGUAUUUGGCAAAUUUAAGAAGCAUAUUUCUUCGUUGUUUUCCGCCCAAAAAUUCUUGUCAAAGGGCAAAAGUUUUAAACAGAUGUGCCGGAACGCGUUAAUUUUGUUUGUCCAACGAGCUUCUUCGAAUCCGUAAAAUUGUAAUGAUCAAGCCGUACCGAAGCUCAUAAUCGGCGGUAGCGGUAAUAACUGCAGUAGGGUGCAAGAAAUGCGUCGACUCUGCCGGAACAGCCGCAAUUUCCCGCGGAGAGCGUCCUCCGGGCUGCAGGUUUCAAGGGGCGUCUCCUGUGAAACUCUAUUUAAUUUUUCCGUCGUCACAGAUUCACAGGAAUUAAUAUACGCCGGUGGCUUUCGAUUAAUUAAGAGUGGCUCCGUGUAGUUACAGGGAUAAUUCUACGGUCGUGCCGGGGCGUUUGUGUGUUUGCCAUCCGAGCUGGUGUGUGCGCGCUCGUAUUCGCGUCAUUGUAACUGGUCGAGUGUUCCACGCGCUUUUGAUUCGCCGAUACUCAAUGCGCGGUUCUCCGUUCGCGUGAUCCGAUCGACCGGUAAAAUUUCACCGUGUUCGGGUUUAUUAAUAUUCGUUUAAUGUAGCAGCGACGAUUAUCGGUGGCACGUGAAUUUUAUCGAGGAACAGGCUUUCCCAAAACAGAAGGUCCAAAUUGAAUCGCGGAGCCUAUUCUCGUUCGUGAGCCUAAUUUUCAUGUUGUUACAACGUUUCCCCCGUUACCAUCUCAAUUAGAAUUCCAGUCGAAUUUUUUUCAUCGUUCGUAGAUUCAAGUACGUGUUUUACUUCCUGUUUGAUAUCCAGAGAUUUUAUUUUAAGAGUAAUAAUACAGUUUCCAUAGGUAAAUUAUCUUUUUACUAUCACCGCAUUUGGCAAUAUUUAAUUUGGCAAUAUUUAAUUAGUAAGAACAAUUCUGUCCCACGUUAUUACGAGAUUUUCUGUAUCAUAUCUUAUUUCUGGAUUUUGAAACAGCCAGUACAGAGAUAUCAGGGAAGUUAUUACAUUCCCAGGCAGUUCCCCGCGGAAUAGCGUUCCAUUCUUUGAAAGUUAGUUAACCAGCGACGUCUGCGGCUCUUUUCUUCCACUGCGCCUAUACUCUGUAUUCUCGCGGUAGACGUGGUCGUUAAUGAUACGUGGUUCAUGAUAUUCGCGUCCCAUUCAAGAUCGGUCUGCGUGUCCCUGCAGCUGCCCAUUUAAUUACUUGGUGUCACCGUUGCUUGAGAAUUUUAUAUCGCAACGGGUAAGGAUGACGCCAUAGAAACCAAUUGGUACACAAAUUAUGUCGGAGAAAUUAUUAGAGAAACGUGCGAGUCUAUAAGGCGUCCGCGAAUAAUAUA